UUCAUUCUCUUUUUUUUGCAAGUCAAAGAAUUUGCUCCUGAUGCGAGACGAACAAACGCCAAACUCUCAUUCUCUUUUGUCUUCCCCGACAAAUUUCAAAGUCCAAGAGAGAAAUGUGACUUCUACGGCUACAAUUGUGGUGGCGAAGGCAUAACUUCAAAAAAAGUUGGAACCCUAAAAAUUUCUUGAAUGUUUGAGAAGGUAGAUUUGGAAGGGAAAACCAACCACGAUUUGGAAGGGAACGGAGGCAGUGGCGGUGAUGGAGAUUAUCGCGGUGGCGGAGAAAGACGCGGAGUUGAGGAAAUCGGCGUUCAAGCCAAACUCACCUGCUUGCAAGGCCGUUGUGGAUCAAGUGGUGAAGAUAAUCGAGAAAGCGGAUUCGAAGCUUCUGGUUCCUCUUGGUUUGUAUUUAAUCCUUAAGUACAUCUCUGUACCAUCUGGCCUUGUGCAACUACUCUGCCUCUAUGGAUAUUCCCUAUUUGUCUUUAUUUCGACUCUGGUGAGUUACUGCUCUUCAAAUUUUCUUUCAAGAAAUUAUUAGGUUAUCUUGAACUAUAUGAUCUUUAAAUAUUCUCUAUAUAAUAUGUAAUCAAGUGUAAUUAUUAUUUCCUUGUAAAUUGUAUGAUGAAGUUAAUGA